rnacentral:rRNA from 1 species
UACGUAGGGUGCAAGCGUUACUCGGAAUUACUGGGCGUAAAGCGUGCGCAGGCGGUUGUGCAAGACCGAUGUGAAAUCCCCGGGCUUAACCUGGGAACUGCGUUUGAAACUACAAGGCUAGAGUGUGGCAGAGGGGGGUGGAAUUCCACGUGUAGCAGUGAAAUGCGUAGAGAUGUGGAGGAACACCGAUGGCGAAGGCAGCCCCCUGGGUUAACACUGACGCUCAGGCACGAAAGCGUGGGGAGCAAACAGG